rnacentral:rRNA from 1 species
GAUGAACGCUGGCGGCGUGCCUAAUACAUGCAAGUAGAACGCUGAAGGAGGAGCUUGCUCUUCUGGAUGAGUUGCGAACGGGUGAGUAACGCGUAGGUAACCUGCCUGGUAGCGGGGGAUAACUAUUGGAAACGAUAGCUAAUACCGCAUGACAACAGUUAUUGCAUGAUAACUGUUUAAAAGGGGCAACUGCUCCACUACCAGAUGGACCUGCGUUGUAUUAGCUAGUUGGUGAGGUAACGGCUCACCAAGGCGACGAUACAUAGCCGACCUGAGAGGGUGAUCGGCCACACUGGGACUGAGACACGGCCCAGACGCCUACGGGAGGCAGCAGUAGGGAAUCUUCGGCAAUGGACGGAAGUCUGACCGAGCAACGCCGCGUGAGUGAAGAAGGUUUUCGGAUCGUAAAGCUCGGUUGUAAGAGAAGAACGAGUGUGAGAGUGGAAAGUUCACACUGUGACGGUAUCUUACCAGAAAGGGAGGGCUAACUACGUG